AUUGGACUUCUAUUAGUAGAAUUAGGGCUUCUUUGGUUCUUCCGCCCGCUCCAAACUGAAGUCGAACGGGAGGAGGAAUUAAGAGGGCUCUGCGCUCUAUAGGGCUACUUCGAUCCUUACAUGGCUCUGCGCUUUUACGAUAUAGCUGACCCCUCCGUCUUUGGGUGCUUCUUGCGAAUCUCUCCUACCGGCUAUCUUCGGCAUUCGAUUCCCGCUGUCUUGUUGGCCUUGUCCCGGCUUCUGUUCCGAUUGGAAAGCUUGGUUUUGACGUUUCAGGGCUUUCGCCAUGGCAAACGGUUAUACUCGGAACAAAGUAAGGGUUUCAUAGGGAUAUUGAUCGUGCACGUCACCGGCGAACGGCUGGUAGUCAUCAGUUUGACAGCAGCUGUACUGGCAGCGUGAGCUCCAUCUCGACGAGAUUUUCGGAGCUAACGCUGGAUGAUGACGAGACAGAAUGCGUGGACUUGCAAGACUUCGAUCUAGAGAAGGGAUCUACGAGAGAGAAAGCUUUGUCCGGGGCCAUCGAUGCAUUUGAAGGGCUUGAUCUCCUAAAAUUUGUUGAAAACAACAAUGGAAACGAGACCACUUCAUCCUUCAAGAAGAAUAAAGAGCAAAGCACUUCGAAGAAUUAUUCUCCCUCUGGCCUCCCAUCUUUAUUUUGGUCAUUAUGAUCUUGUAAAAGUUGACAUGUAAAUGACAUUCUUGUCGGAAAUCUGAUAACUAAUUUUUCUUGUGUCUUCA